CUCUCUCUCUGUGUGUGUAUGUUAGAUCCAAAGAAGGGAGAGAGUUGGAUAUGCCAGCAUCUGAUUUCAAAAUCCCAGCCACCGGAGUUUGAUUCAUCACAGCUGACUCAAAUCAAAAGCAGGAUUUAGCGGCCGCACACCUCUAAUGGUGUGGGCUAUUGUGAAUUUGAAGAUUUUCUUGGUUUCAGAGUUCAUUAUUACAAUACAGGUAUUGCCUCAAAACUCCUUUGCAUUAUGUGUCACUGUUCAUGAAAAAUUGAUUCAUGGUCCUUCUAAAUCUCUCGUAACUCCUUUGGAAUAAUUAGCUAAUUGCUUUGGUGCAAGAAGGACAUGGAAUUACUCAGGCGUGAUUUUGGGGUAUGUCGAUUGUUUUUUUUUUUUUUUUUUUGGAUGUGGUCACUGAAAAUCUUAAUUUUUUCGACCCAUUUCACAACAUUAGCUGGAGCAACUGCUCAGAGUGGAUGUCAUGCAAGAGUGGAUCAUCUUCUUCAAAUUGAACAUGAUGUAGUUUAUUUCUUUGACUUUGAUUUAAUAAAAUGAUGAAAGUUGCAUAAGACUUUGAAAGGUUUGGGCAUUGUGUUCAAGUAGAGAUUUCUUGCAUUGAUAGUUCUUUAAAAAUAAAAUGUAUUGAUCUGUUUAGCAGUACAAUACUUGAUUUAUUCUUUAAUUUGGUAUUGUGCCUUAUGUUUAAA